ACAGCAGCAGCCGCGGGAAUACGGAGGGUGCAAGCGUUAAUCGGAAUUACUGGGCGUAAAGCGCACGCAAGCGGUUUGUUAAGUCAGAUGUGAAAUCCCCGAGCUUAACUUGGGAACUGCAUUUGAAACUGGCAAGCUAGAGUCUUGUAGAGGGGGGUAGAAUUCCAGGUGUAGCGGUGAAAUGCGUAGAGAUCUGGAGGAAUACCGGUGGCGAAGGCGGCCCCCUGGACAAAGACUGACGCUCAGGUGCGAAAGCGUGGGGAGCAAACAGGAUUAGAUACCCCGGUAGUCCCUGUCUCUUAUAC
rnacentral:rRNA from 1 species